GACGAACGCUGGCGGCGUGCUUAACAUAUGCAAGUCGAACGGUGAACCUCUUCGGAGGGGAUCAGUGGCGAACGGGUGCGUAACACGUGGGCAACCUGCCCCCGGCUCUGGGAUAACUCCAAGAAAUUGGGGCUAAUACCAGAUGUUCACCGCUUCCCGCGUGGGUGGUGGUGGAAAGGGUUUCGGCUGGGGAUGGGCCCGCGGCCUAUCAGCUUGUUGGUGGGGUAGUGGCCUACCAAGGCGAAGACGGGUAGCCGGCCUGAGAGGGUGACCGGCCACACUGGGACUGAGACACGGCCCAGACUCCUACGGGAGGCAGCAGUGGGGAAUAUUGCACAAUGGGCGGAAGCCUGACGCAGCGACGCCGCGUGGGGGAUGACGGCCUUCGGGUUGUAAACCUCUUUCAGCAGGGACGAAGCGCAAGUGACGGUACCUGCAGAAGAAGCACCGGCUAACUACGUG
rnacentral:rRNA from 1 species